UACGUAGGGUGCAAGCGUUAAUCGGAAUUACUGGGCGUAAAGCGUGCGCAGGCGGUUAUAUAAGACAGUUGUGAAAUCCCCGGGCUCAACCUGGGAACUGCAUCUGUGACUGUAUAGCUAGAGUACGGUAGAGGGGGAUGGAAUUCCGCGUGUAGCAGUGAAAUGCGUAGAUAUGCGGAGGAACACCGAUGGCGAAGGCAAUCCCCUGGACCUGUACUGACGCUCAUGCACGAAAGCGUGGGGAGCAAACAGGG
rnacentral:rRNA from 1 species